rnacentral:rRNA from 1 species
UGCCAGCAGCCGCGGUAAAACGUAGGAGGCGAGCGUUAUCCGGAUUUACUGGGUGUAAAGCGCGUGCAGGCGGUAAGAUAAGUUGGGUGUGAAAGCUCCUGGCUCAACUGGGAGAGGUCGCUCAAGACUGUCUAACUAGAGGAUGGUAGGGGAAGGUGGAAUUCCGGGUGUAGUGGUGAAAUGCGUAGAUAUCCGGAGGAACACCAGUGGCGAAAGCGGCCUUCUGGACCAUCACUGACGCUCAGACGCGAAAGCUAGGGGAGCAAACGGGAUUAGAGACCCCGGUAGUCCUAGCUGUAAACGAUGUGAACUUGGCGCUGGGUGGGUAAAACCGUUCAGUGCCGUAGCAAACGCGAUAAGUUCACCACCUGGGGACUACGGCCGCAAGGUUAAAACUCAAAGGAAUUGACGGGGGCCCGCACAAGC